rnacentral:rRNA from 1 species
UAAUUGAAGAGUUUGAUCAUGGCUCAGAUUGAACGCUGGCGGCAGGCCUAACACAUGCAAGUCGAGCGGUAACAGGGGAAGCUUGCUUCUCGCUGACGAGCGGCGGACGGGUGAGUAAUGUAUGGGGAUCU